rnacentral:rRNA from 1 species
GACGAACGCUGGCGGCGUGCCUAAUACAUGCAAGUCGAACGAACCGCGACUAGGUGCUUGCACUUGGUCAUGGUGAGUGGCGAACGGGUGAGUAACACGUGGGUAUCCUACCUCAUUGUGGGGGCUAACAGUCGGCAACGACUGCUAAUACCGCAUAGGACAUCCGAUCACAUGAUCCGGUGAGGAAAGGUUUCGCAAGCUAUCGCUAAGAGUUGGACCCGCGGUGCAUUAGCUAGUUGGUAGGGUAAAGGCCUACCAAGGCGAUGAUGCAUAGCCGACCUGAGAGGGUGAUCGGCCACACUGGGACUGAGACACGGCCCAAACUCCUACGGGAGGCAGCAGUAGGGAAUCUUCCGCAAUGGACGAAAGUCUGACGGAGCAACGCCGCGUGAGUGAAGAAGGUCUUCGGAUCGUAAAGCUCUGUUGUUAGAGAAGAACAGAGCAUAGAGUAACUGUUAAGGGUGUGACGGUAUCUAACCAGAAAGCCACGGCUAACUACGUG